UUGCCAGUGAUGGUCAAGAAUUUCUUCACCUGAAUAAACCUUGUGGUCAUGUUGUAUCUGAGGCAAA